rnacentral:tRNA from 1 species
GCCGAGAUAGCUAAGGCGUGCGAGAUUAAUAGAAAGGGCGUAGGUUCGAAUCCUGCUCUCGGCA